rnacentral:rRNA from 1 species
GACGAACGCUGGCGGCGUGCUUAACACAUGCAAGUCGAACGGUAAGGCUCCAGCUUGCUGGGGUACACGAGUGGCGAACGGGUGAGUAACACGUGGGUGACCUGCCCUGCACUUCGGGAUAAGCCUGGGAAACUGGGUCUAAUACCGGAUAGGACCGCACCGUGAGGGUGUGGUGGAAAGUUUUUUCGGUGUGGGAUGGGCCCGCGGCCUAUCGGCUUGUUGGUGGGGUAAUGGCCUACCAAGGCGGCGACGGGUAGCCGGCCUGAGAGGGUGGACGGCCACAUUGGGACUGAGACACGGCCCAGACUCCUACGGGAGGCAGCAGUGGGGAAUAUUGCACAAUGGGCGGAAGCCUGAUGCAGCGACGCCGCGUGGGGGAUGACGGCCUUCGGGUUGUAAACUCCUUUCACCAUCGACGAAGGGUUUCUGACGGUAGAUGGAGAAGAAGCACCGGCUAACUACGUGCCAGCAGCCGCGGUAAUACGUAGGGUGCGAGCGUUGUCCGGAAUUACUGGGCGUAAAGAGCUCGUAGGUGGUUUGUCGCGUCGUCUGUGAAAUUCCGGGGCUUAACUCCGGGCGUGCAGGCGAUACGGGCAUAACUUGAGUACUGUAGGGGAGACUGGAAUUCCUGGUGUAGCGGUGAAAUGCGCAGAUAUCAGGAGGAACACCGGUGGCGAAGGCGGGUCUCUGGGCAGUAACUGACGCUGAGGAGCGAAAGCAUGGGGAGCGAACAGGAUUAGAUACCCUGGUAGUCCAUGCCGUAAACGGUGGGCGCUAGGUGUGGGUUUCCUUCCACGGGAUCCGUGCCGUAGCUAACGCAUUAAGCGCCCCGCCUGGGGAGUACGGCCGCAAGGCUAAAACUCAAAGGAAUUGACGGGGGCCCGCACAAGCGGCGGAGCAUGUGGAUUAAUUCGAUGCAACGCGAAGAACCUUACCUGGGCUUGACAUAUACAGGAUCGCGCCAGAGAUGGUGUUUCCCUUGUGGCUUGUAUACAAGUGGUGCAUGGUUGUCGUCAGCUCGUGUCGUGAGAUGUUGGGUUAAGUCCCGCAACGAGCGCAACCCUUGUCUUAUGUUACCAGCACGUUGUGGUGGGGACUCGUAAGAAACUGCCGGGGUUAACUCGGAGGAAGGUGGGGAUGACGUCAAAUCAUCAUGCCCCUUAUGUCCAGGGCUUCACACAUGCUACAAUGGUCGGUACAGUGGGUUGCCAGUCCGUGAGGGCGAGCUAAUCCCGCAAAGCCGGUCUCAGUUCGGAUCGGGGUCUGCAACUCGACCCCGUGAAGUCGGAGUCGCUAGUAAUCGCAGAUCAGCAACGCUGCGGUGAAUACGUUCCCGGGCCU